UAUGCCCCAGAGACUGCUAGUGAAAGGGUAGAGCCUCUGUCAUCUCCAAACCUCCUCCCACUGUCAACUCACGCACACACGCACAUACGCACACGCACACACACACACACACACACACACACACACACACACACACACACACACACACACACACACACACACACACACACACACACACACACACACACACACACACACACCAUUGACUUUCACUCAUCCUAACCCAACACUUCAGCUGAUUACUUGUUUUCCCAGACCUGAACAACACCCACAAACAUCCUCGCUGCUGGACGCAGUAAAGAAAAGAACAGCUAGCGUGUUUGACGGACUGAGUCACUGAUAAGAUCGUACACCUGUCACCUGAGACUGGCUCAUCAAACCUUUGUACCUUCAACAGCUGAUAAAAACUAGUUUCAUGUUCGUGUUUGCACACGCACGCUUGUCUCCUGCUGGGAUUGAGACAUCCAACUGAAGACAGCCACAUAAGCUCUCACCUGCUGCAGACUGAGGAUCUGAACAUCAGUCGAAUACCUGGACCUGACUGAACUUUGACCCUGAGACCCGGCGGCAGGAGGACGGAUCUAUAGACGGCUUUGUUCUACAUCAUAAAGGCGGUUUCACCAGUUCUGUUACUUUGGGUUUAUAAGUAGCUGGAACUGUACCUGCUCCCUGUAAUAAAUACAUUUAGAAUGAUGUUGUAAACCAUCAUUCAUGACUUUGAUUUGACAUCAUAAUCCUGACUGAGCAUCUGUGUCAUCUCAUUUUGUUGUUUUUUGUGUCAGCUUUACUUUAUUUGGCUUUGACAACCCAAAGUGUCCCUGUUUGACCCGAGGAAAGAAAAGAUUGAACUGCGCAGACAGAGGAAGACAGGUAAGGUGACAGGUGUAAGCAAGAGUCAGGUGAGUCUGAACCAACCAACUCAGCACGGCUUCCUUCCAACCAGACUCCAUACAAUAAUCUAUGGCUUUUGCUCGGCUCUAGUGGCUAGCUCAUUACCUCGUCACACCAACAGAAGACGCGUUCCCCUCCAGCAGCCAGAGCUCCGCUUAAACCUGCUUGUUUUGGGUCUUCCUAAACACGUUUCUGCCACAGAGGGCGGCGCCGAGCACACAGCGCCACUUCUGAAACAAAACAUCUCUCUGUCAUGGCAUCAACUCAACAUCAUGAAGAUUUAUUUGGGAGCCGAAUUCCCUUAUGGAUCCUAAACAUCUCAUCUAGCUUCUGAACCGGGCCAAAUCCGAACCUGGGUUCAAGGGAAGGCUGAAUUCUUCCAAAUGUUUUAUAUGUGAACGGAGUUUUGUUCGCCUCCUUUUAUCAAAUCAGAGGCACGUUCUGGUACCAAGUGACCGGACGGUGUCGGUCCAGUUCACGGCAGCACGAGCUAGCAGCCUCCGGCCGUACUUGCCUCUCUGUCCGCGGUGUCCGGGAGGGGCCGCUGGCUGAUUUACUUUACUCCACAAAUCCCAUCGAUCCGCCGGCGAUCCCCGGGCGGAGUCUGCAGGCAGAAUCACGGUAUCCUGACGGUCCUCUCAUUCAGGCGGCCGAAUGGACCUCCGGUUCCGCCGCCCUCAGCUUCCGUUAUCAGUGUAAACAACGCGGUUCGUCGAGCGAAGCUCAGCGGACUCCUCUCCCGGUGUGAGGCGAGGACCGCGGCUCAACGUCAGCCGCUGCUGACAUGCGCAGUCAGUCCACACCAAGGCACGCGCGCGCACGGCUAACCACGCAUCAUUCAAAAGCAUCAUUUCAUUUUAGGAAAACACGCCUUUAUUUUGCAGGUUUUUGUUUAUACGUGUGUUUAUUUUGGCUUCAUAAAUACAAAUAAAUCAAAAAGGUUAUUUUCAUGUUUGGUAGUUUAGGUGUUUUGUUUCUUCAUUACUGAUAAUUAUCGUUGUUGCAACUCACCUGAGCAUCAACUGAGAGUUUAGUCCUAAAAAUGAGAAAAACAGGGGAAAACACAUUUAGUAGGUUAAAUGAAAAUGGACAUUUCCCCGAAAACAAAUAACUUUAAAUCAAAAAUUAGAAUAUUAAAUCGGGUCUCCCUAAAACAGGUUAAAUGAAAUGUUAUAGUUCAGGAAACCAGAUGGACCUCUUAAGGAAAGGCAGGAGGCCCAUUCUCUAAAAACAUUCUCUUAUGUUGUCUGGAUGCAGAAUAUUUCACAUACUUUGAGAUUUUUAGAACAUAUAGUAAGUUCUGGGAAAAUGCUGGUGAAGGUCAGGUGAAAAUAAAAAAUGAGAAUAUGGUGCAAAAAGUUUAUUUAUGUCAAAUUAAAAGCUUUAUCUGGUAUAACUGUGAUGAUUAUGGCUUACAGCUUACGGAAACCCCAAAGUCAAAAUCUCAGGCAGUCAGAAUAUUGUGAAAUGGUCAAUAAUCUAGACUCAAAGUGUCAUAAUCAAUCAGCUAAUGAAUCCAGAACACAUGCAGAGGGUUCCUGAGCAUAUAAAUCAGUGGGGCUCAGUCCUGGUCCUGGAGGGCUGGUAUCCGGCAUGUUUUAGUGGUUUCUCUGCUCCAACACGCUUGUUUCAGCUGAACCACCUGUACAGGAUCCUGUUGAUUUAAACCAGGUGUGUUGAAACAGAGUUAAAACUAAAACGUAUUUACUGAAAUAAAUGGACUUUGCCUUUGACUUUGGACCUUAUUCAAACUGUUCUAGUUUCGCCGUCAUCUGCUUUAUGGUAAACAUCGGAACCGUAUAUUUGUUCUUUUAAUUUUCCUUGAUUUUGUUAUUUAUAUUUUAGUUCAAUACUGUCUUUUGAUUUGAUAAUACCGUACUUCUGUUAUAAUACCAUAUUUCUCUGAGCUGCAUGUUUGUGUAAAUCAUGAUUUUUAUAAAGGAUUAAAAUCUAGAAUAUUCGAAUAAAAACAAUAGGUGCGGGAUAAAUGGCAGCCAAAACCACAGCAUGAAACCAUCUUCAGUUUUGUCCAAAACCUGUUUAAUACAGAAAGGAUUUCUUUUCUUCAUGAAUUUUAAUACAGAUAUGCAAAUUAAUAAGACUUGUAAGUGCAAAACAAUUCAAUAAAAAUACGUGUAAAUGCUUUUGUUGUUUUAAUCUGUGUUAAUAAAUUAUAAUUCUUUAAAAGUAGAAAAUAAAUACCAGAAGAAAUAACUUUUCUGUUUUAGAAGUGGGACCGACCGGAAACAGGUAAAACUGCGACACCUGGUGGAUACAAGUCUUCAUGACCGCUGGGUUCUGUUGAUGUGAGCGAAUGAUGAAACCAUGAAUGUGGUUCUGGAUUUUUGGGUUCCAACAGUAAAACAGAACCGAUGAGUCCGAUAAGAUUCCUCUGGAACGGAGGAAAGAGCUCAGCCAUCACCUGAACCAGAACCAGCUCUCGUCAGCAGCUCUUCAUCAUGAUCCAAACAAUUCAGAGGUCAAAAAAGUUGGGCCAGAAAAGCUAGACCAGAAUCAGACAUCUGAACAGGCUCACAAACCC